rnacentral:tRNA from 1 species
GCGGACGUGGCGGAAUUGGCAGACGCGUAUGGCUUAGAACUAUAUACCGCAGGGUAUGGGGGUUCAAGUCCCUCCGUCCGCA